rnacentral:lncRNA from 1 species
CCUGGGAGGUCAGUGCAGGGUUCCUCCAUUUUGACAUGAGUAAAUUCUAGAUUAGGUAUUUGGCAGUUAACUCAUCUGGAUAUAUGGGAACAGAAGUGCCAGACACGUAGAUAAUAUUUGGAGAACAGGAGCAGACUUGGAACAUGCUGAAUAGAGGACAAGGAAGUAUCAUCAGACAAACUUAAAGAUGAUCUGACAAUGUCAUUUUCCAAGGGACUGAUAGAAAGAUUGAGUAUCAUGGAAUCAGAACAGACAACAGAGAAUCAGAUUCUGCUACCCCACUCCCAUCUAUGCUGGUCUGCUGAAAAAACAAAACACGCUUGAAAUAGCAUAUAGAAAAUAAAAUUUGC